ACCCUUUUCGCCGAGGAAGAGAGAACGCCGAAACUAAUCAGCUUUUUUUCUUCUUAUCCCUUGCUUGGCUGCCUCUGUCAUAUGCAUAGUGACAAAUACCUUGCCUUUGCUGCCUAUCUACUUCUAAAAUUCUAUAAAUACCCUCACUCCAUGUCGUAAUCUCAUCGACCAAGAACGGUUACGAAGGAGAAAAAUGGGAGCUCUGGAUUACGUUUCCGAUCUAUUCUCAUUCCCACGCAGCAACAGCAGCAUCAAGAAGCGCAAGAAGCGCAAGCAGUUGCAGGUGUGUAUGCUAAUUUGAUAUUUUGCACCCACUUUAUUUCAUUUCCACCCACCUACUUUCCACUUUUGGUAAUUGAACUAGUGCAAAUGGAGAAGUGGGUUUUUGGAACUGAGUUGUGGAUGGUAGCGUAUAUAAGUUAGUAUAUGCUAUCAGCGUUUAUAUAUUAGAUUGGACGGUGGAGAUUAAAGUGAGGAUGCACUGUGAAGGCUGCGAGAGGAAGGUGAAGAAAGCUGUGGAAGGCAUGAAAGGUACGCCCUGUUUCUCUAUGUAUGUAUUCGCUCACGUGAGAUGGAAGGAGCGCUUAGCAGCGCACUGCCCAUAUGGUACACGUGGGCGAGAUCCGGACCAUUCACCACUAAGGGUAGGCAGCGACCAUACCUGGCCCAAAAUUCAAGUCCGGUGCACCGGUGAGGCGGGCCACAUGUAUCUGACUAUUUGGUUCGUACAUGCUCACAGUGUGUAUUCUCAUGCAUAGCUGAUACACCGAACAUUUAGUGUAUGUACACUAUUUCCCGACCACCUGCUCUGUGUCUCAUUGCUACCAUCCGAUCAUGCCCCAGUAUACGCUAUUGAUAUACCAAACAUCGGUGUAGAUUGCCCGCAACCAGAAACACUGUGGGCCCACGGUGAUCUUUGUGUUAUUUCCAUUCCAUCCAUCCAUUUCGAUGGGCUACACAUCAAUAAACGGCGGCGAGAUUGAACUCCCAUCAUCAAAACCUCCUUUGGGACCACAAAAAAAUAAAAAUAAAAAUAUAUAUACUGCCAGAUUGAGCUCCUGCAGUUGAAACAUAGGGGGAUGGAAACAGAUGGACGGAGUGGAUCUUCUAAACUAAUGAGCUGGAGAAACAGAUGAACGGAUUGGAUAUAACACAAAUAU